UAUCUGGUGGCGAGUGGCGCACGGGUGCGUAACACGUAUGCAACCUUCCUUCAACUGGGGAAUAGCUCACCGAAAGGUGAAUUAAUACCCCAUAAUAUUCGAGAGUGGCAUCACUUUCCAAUUAAAGUUCAGACGGUUGAAGAUGGGCAUGCGGAACAUUAGCUUGUUGGUGAGGUAACGGCUCACCAAGGCUACGAUGUUUAGGGGAUCUGAGAGGAUUAACCCCCACACUGGUACUGAGACACGGACCAGACUCCUACGGGAGGCAGCAGUAAGGAAUAUUGGACAAUGGGCGCAAGCCUGAUCCAGCCAUGCCGCGUGCAGGAUGAAGGCCCUAUGGGUUGUAAACUGCUUUUAUACGGGAAAAAACCCCUCUACGUGUAGAGGGCUGAUGGUACCGUAAGAAUAAGGAUCGGCUAACUCCGUGCCAGCAGCCGCGGUAAUACGGAGGAUCCGAGCGUUAUCCGGAUUUAUUGGGUUUAAAGGGUGCGUAGGCGGAUUUGUAAGUCAGUGGUGAAAUCCUGCAGCUUAACUGUAGAACUGCCAUUGAUACUGCAAGUCUUGAGUACAUAUGAUGUGGGCGGAAUGUGCAGUGUAGCGGUGAAAUGCUUAGAUAUUGCACA
rnacentral:rRNA from 1 species